ensembl:miRNA
CCUGUUGCCACAAACCCGUAGAUCCGAACUUGUGGUGAUAGUCCACACAAGCUUGUGUCUAUAGGUAUGUGUCUGUUAGG